GCGGCAGGCUUAACACAUGCAAGUCGAACGGAACUUCUUUAAUUGAUUUCUUCGGAAUGAUUUUGAUUAAGUUUAGUGGCGGACGGGUGAGUAACGCGUGAGUAACCUGCCUCUGAAAGGGGAAUAACAUUCUGAAAAGAAUGCUAAUACCGCAUAACAUAUAUUUAUCGCAUGGUAGAUAUAUCAAAGAUUUAUCGCUCAGAGAUGGACUCGCGUCCGAUUAGUUAGUUGGUGAGGUAACGGCUCACCAAGACCGCGAUCGGUAGCCGGACUGAGAGAUUGAACGGCCACAUUGGGACUGAGACACGGCCCAGACUCCUACGGGAGGCAGCAGUGGGGGAUAUUGCGCAAUGGGGGAACCCUGACGCAGCAACGCCGCGUGAAGGAUGAAGGUCUUCGGAUUGUAAACUUCUUUUAUUAAGGACGAAGAAAGUGACGGUACUUAAUGAAUAAGCUCCGGCUAACUACGUGCCAGCAGCCGCGGUAA
rnacentral:rRNA from 1 species